CCUACGGGAGGCUGCAGUGAGGAAUAUUGGUCAAUGGACGAGAGUCUGAACCAGCCAAGUAGCGUGAAGGAUGACUGCCCUAUGGGUUGUAAACUUCUUUUAUAUGGGAAUAAAAUGUUCCACGUGUGGGAUUUUGUAUGUACCAUAUGAAUAAGGAUCGGCCAACUCCGUGCCAGCAGCCGCGGUAAUACGGAGGAUCCGAGCGUUAUCCGGAUUUAUUGGGUUUAAAGGGAGCGUAGGUGGAUUGUUAAGUCAGUUGUGAAAGUUUGCGGCUCAACCGUAAAAUUGCAGUUGAAACUGGCAGUCGUGAGUACAGUAGAGGUGGGCGGAAUUCGUGGUGUAGCGGUGAAAUGCUUAGAUAUCACGAAGAACUCCGAUUGCGAAGGCAGCUCACUGGACUGCAACUGACACUGAGGCUCGAAAGUGUGGGUAUCAAACAGGAUUAGAUACCCGUGUAGUC
rnacentral:rRNA from 1 species